UCGAGGUCGACGUUGGGUACCAUGUUGACGUCAUCGCUGCUUUCAAACAGAUGCCUUCCAAGAACUAUGAUAUGAAGACAAGAAAGUGGAGUUUCUUGCUUGAGGAUUAUAAAAGACUUAUGGAGGCUCUCGGUGCCAUUCCAUCAGUAGAGAUUGAGCCUCUCCCUAGGGGUGUGAUCCAGGUGUUCUCUGCCCUGUUUGAAGGCAGCCAGACAUGGACAUCAGAGGUUCCUGAAGCGGACCUGUCCUCCAUC